GUUAUGGCUCACAAACAAGUGGGGAGAUAGAGCACGAAAGAUUGGUGACACUGGUGAGGGACAAGAAGAACAAAGCUAAUGGAGUGACAUCGUGGAUUGAAGAGAUCAUAGACCCUACGUUGGAAGGUAAAUAUGACCAAGCUAAAAUGGAAGCUCUGAUUUCAUUAGCCCUGCAAUGUGUGGAGGAAGACAAAGAUGCCAGAC
rnacentral:misc_RNA from 1 species